GAUGAACGCUGGCGGCGUGCCUAAUACAUGCAAGUCGAGCGAACAGACGAGGAGCUUGCUCCUCUGACGUUAGCGGCGGACGGGUGAGUAACACGUGGAUAACCUACCUAUAAGACUGGGAUAACUUCGGGAAACCGGAGCUAAUACCGGAUAACAUGUUGAACCGCAUGGUUCAACAGUGAAAGACGGUUUUGCUGUCACUUAUAGAUGGAUCCGCGUUGCAUUAGCUAGUUGGUAAGGUAACGGCUUACCAAGGCAACGAUGCGUAGCCGACCUGAGAGGGUGAUCGGCCAAACUGGAACUGAGACACGGUCCAGACUCCUACGGGAGGCAGCAGUAGGGAAUCUUCCGCAAUGGGCGAAAGCCUGACGGAGCAACGCCGCGUGAGUGAAGAAGGUCUUCGGAUCGUAAAACUCUGUUAUUAGGGAAGAACAAAUGUGUAAGUAACUAUGCACGUCUUGACGGUACCUAAUCAGAAAGCCACGGCUAACUACGUG
rnacentral:rRNA from 1 species